CAGUCGCACGGACCCUUCGGGGUGAGUGGCGGACGGGUGAGUAACGCGUAGGGAUCUAUCCAUGGGUGGGGGAUAACACCGGGAAACUGGUGCUAAUACCGCAUGAUACCUGAGGGUCAAAGGCGCAAGUCGCCUGUGGAGGAGCCUGCGUUCGAUUAGCUUGUUGGUGGGGUAAAGGCCUACCAAGGCGAUGAUCGAUAGCUGGUCUGAGAGGAUGAUCAGCCACACUGGGACUGAGACACGGCCCAGACUCCUACGGGAGGCAGCAGUGGGGAAUAUUGGACAAUGGGCGAAAGCCUGAUCCAGCAAUGCCGCGUGUGUGAAGAAGGUCUUCGGAUUGUAAAGCACUUUCGACGGGGACGAUGAUGACGGUACCCGUAGAAGAAGCCCCGGCUAACUUCGUGCCAGCAGCCGCGGUAAUACGAAGGGGGCUAGCGUUGCUCGGAAUGACUGGGCGUAAAGGGCGCGUAGGCGGUUUACACAGUCAGAUGUGAAAUUCCAGGGCUUAACCUUGGGGCUGCAUUUGAUACGUGUAGACUAGAGUGUGAGAGAGGGUUGUGGAAUUCCCAGUGUAGCGGUG
rnacentral:rRNA from 1 species